rnacentral:rRNA from 1 species
GCUUGUCUCAAAGAUUAAGCCAUGCAUGUCUAAGUAUAAGCCUUUAUAUGGUGAGACUGCGAAUGGCUCAUUAAAUCAGAAACUGUUUAUUUGAUAGUGCCUACUACAUGGAUACCUGUAGUAAUUCUAGAGCUAAUACAUGCAUCAAUACCCAACUGUUCGCGGAAGGGUAGUAUUUAUUAGGUAUAGACCAACCCUCCUCGGAGGUGCUUUGGUGAUUCAUAAUAACUCGCGGAUCGGUUUACCGAUGCAUCAUUCAAGUUUCUGCCCUAUCAGCUUUGGAUGGUAGGGUAUUGGCCUACCAUGGCUUUAACGGGUAACGGAGAAUUAGGGUUCGAUUCCGGAGAGGGAGCCUGAGAAAUGGCUACCACAUCCAAGGAAGGCAGCAGG